rnacentral:lncRNA from 1 species
UAGAGCCCACGGAUUUGGCAAGUCUGGAUAGCCAGCUUGUCCCUGGGAUCCUCUGCUCCUCCCGCCUGAGAUCUAGCACGGCAAGUGGACUGCCACAUCUGCCUGUGGACCUCCACCACAUCUGCCUGUGGACCACCACCACAUCUGCCUGUGGACCACCACAUCUGCCUGUGGACUACUACAUCUUCCUAUGGACCUCCACCACAUCUGCCUGUGGACCACCACAUCUGCCUGUGGACCACCACCACAUCUGCCUGUGGACCACUACAUCUGCCUAUGGACCUCCACCACAUCUGCCUGUGGACCACUACAUCUGUCUGGAUUUUAGUGCAUGGUGAUGCUCUCGGCUUGGGAGUGAAUCACAGCAAGAAAGCCCUGCAUCGUAGGUAGCUCUCCUCGGUACAUUCCUGACUCUCUUUGGCCAAAGGAUGGAAAUCUCUGAAGAUAAUGACUCUUCUGUGACUUCUCUCUUCCUACUUACUUCUGUUGGGUUGAGUUCCCUUGUGGCCUGCUGAUUGGCCCUGGC